rnacentral:rRNA from 1 species
UAUCAAAAACAUAGCUUAAGGGGUUUAAUUAUCUUAGGUUAGGCCUGCCCGGUGAAAUAUUUUAACGGCCGCGGUACUUUGACCGUGCUAAGGUAGCAUAAUCAAUUGACUUUUAAUUGAAGUCUAGAAUGAAAGGAGAAACGGGAAAUUACUGUCUUCAAUUUUAUCUUUUGAAUUUACUAAUUAGGUGAAAAGGCCUAAAAAUGAAAAAAGACGAGAAGACCCUUAGAGUUUCUAUAUAAAUUUUGUUGGGGCGACAUGAGAGCAAAAAUAACCUCUAUAACUUAUUAAAAUAACACGAAAUUAAUUUUUUGGUUGAUUAAACUACCUAAGGGAUAACAGCAUAAUCUUUUUAGGUUUGUGACCUCGAUGUUGGACUAGGAAGUUUAUUGGUUAGUCGCUAAUAAAAAAAGUUCUGUUCGAACUAAGUAUAUCCUACAUGAUCUGAGUUCAC